AUUGAACGCUGGCGGCAGGCUUAACACAUGCAAGUCGAACGAGUGGCGGACGGGUGAGUAAUGUAUGGGGAUCUGGCUGAUGGAGGGGGAUAACUACGGGAAACUGUCGCUAAUACCGCGUACCAUCGGAUGAGCCCAUAUGGGAUUGGGUAGUUGGGGGGGUAAUGGCCUACCUAGGCGACGAUCUCUAGCUGGUCUGAGAGGAGGACCAGCCACACCGGGACUGAGACACGGCCCGGACUCCUACGGGAGGCAGCAGUGGGGAAUAUUGCGCAAGGGGGGCAACCCUGAUGCAGCCAUGCCGCGUGAAUGAAGAAGGCCUUAGGGUUGUAAAGUACUUUCAGCGACGAGGCGUUACUCACAGAAGAAGCACCGGCUAACUCCGUGCCAGCAGCCGCGGUAAUAC
rnacentral:rRNA from 1 species